GGAAAAACCAAGAGGCAGAGGCUCUCGCUAUGGCCCUACAGGGGAUGCCUCCUGCCUCCACGGAAGUCAAGUGGUCCAGAGACGUGUGAGUGACUUGGAGAAGCAAAGAGGUACAGGAAAGCACAGGAGGAGAGACAGAAGCACAGCUGGCCACCCAGAAAUGAGCAAGGAUGCUGCAUAAUGAGCACAUGCUGAGGAAAACUCCCUUCAAGUAUGAACAAGUGCCAACCCAGAGAAGGCAUGGUCUUCAGGGAUUUGAAGUGCUAGACUGGCCUUUGGAAAAGGAAUGAAAUUGCUGCUAUGUUUGAAGAUGUUACCAUUACUGAACAGGUUUGAAACUUGUUAUUCUCCAGAACUUCCCGACAGAAGUUGAAGGAAGUAGAAUCCUCAACGCUUACAACUGAGUAUCAUUUUGUGAAAAGCACAGCCAAAAUGUCAGCUGUGUUUGUGGUCAUCUUGUUAAAAAGCCAAAUGGGAUUGAUGGGGCCCCAGUUUGCAUCUCAUAAGCAGUCCGAAGUCCUCCCCCAACACUUCCCAGUUAGUUUCUGUCCUUCUGAUUACCUAAGCAAUGAACUCUAGCUUCCACUGAAUUAGAUGAGUGCAUGGAUUGACACAGCAUUCUGCCCAUGCUAUUGACUUCCUUUAACACAUCAACUCAAACAGGUAUCUUAAUCCUCUUCCAUCAUUUUCAUCAAGACAGUGUGUAUUCCCUUGUCUUUUCCACCAAGAAAAAGCAUCCACUUGGA